GGGCCCGCACAAGCGGUGGAGCAUGUGGUUUAAUUCGACGCAACGCGAAGAACCUUACCUGGGCUUGAACUGCCGGUGGUAAAAACCCGAAAGGGCUAUGAUCCUGGUUUCCAGGAAGCCGGUAGAGGUGCUGCAUGGCUGUCGUCAGCUCGUGUCGUGAGAUGUUGGGUUAAGUCCCGCAACGAGCGCAACCCUUGCAUUUAGUUGCCAGCGAGUCAUGUCGGGCACUCUAAGUGGACCGCCCGGGACAACCGGGAGGAAGGUGGGGAUGACGUCAAGUCAGCAUGGCCUUUAUGUCCAGGGCUACACACGUGCUACAAUGGACGGUACAAAGGGCAGCAAGACCGCGAGGUGGAGCAAAUCUUUAAAACCGUUCUCAGUUCGGAUUGGAGGCUGCAAUUCGCCUCCAUGAAGUCGGAAUCGCUAGUAAUCGCGGAUCAGCUACGCCGCGGUGAAUACGUUCUCGGGCCUU
rnacentral:rRNA from 1 species